ACUCCUACGGGAGGCAGCAGUGGGGAAUAUUGCACAAUGGGCGCAAGCCUGAUGCAGCCAUGCCGCGUGUAUGAAGAAGGCCUUCGGGUUGUAAAGUACUUUCAGCAGUGAGGAAGGUGGGUAUGUUAAUAGCAUACUCAUUUGACGUUAGCUGCAGAAGAAGCACCGGCUAACUCCGUGCCAGCAGCCGCGGUAAUACGGAGGGUGCGAGCGUUAAUCGGAAUUACUGGGCGUAAAGCGCAUGCAGGUGGUUUGUUAAGUCAGAUGUGAAAGCCCGGGGCUCAACCUCGGAAUUGCAUUUGAAACUGGCAAACUAGAGUACUGUAGAGGGGGUAGAAUUUCAGGUGUAGCGGUGAAAUGCGUAGAGAUCUGAAGGAAUACCGGUGGCGAAGGCGGCCCCCUGGACAGAUACUGACACUCAGAUGCGAAAGCGUGGGGAGCAAACAGGAUUAGAUACCCCUUGUAGCGCUAC
rnacentral:rRNA from 1 species